UACGAAGGGGGCUAGCGUUGCUCGGAAUUACUGGGCGUAAAGGGCGCGUAGGCGGCACUGUUAGUCAGGCGUGAAAGUCCUGGGCUCAACCUGGGAACUGCGCUUGAUACGGCAGAGCUAGAGGAUGGAAGAGGCUCGCGGAAUUCCCAGUGUAGAGGUGAAAUUCGUAGAUAUUGAGAAGAACACCGGUGGCGAAGGCGGCGAGCUGGUCCAUUACUGACGCUGAGGCGCGACAGCGUGGGGGAGCAAACAGG
rnacentral:rRNA from 1 species